GAUGAACGCUGGCGGCGUGCCUAAUACAUGCAAGUCGAGCGAACAGACGAGGAGCUUGUUCCUCUGACGUUAGCGGCGGACGGGUGAGUAACACGUGGAUAACCUACCUAUAAGACUGGGAAAACUUCGGGAAACCGGAGCUAAUACCGGAUAAUAUCUUGAACCGCUGGGUUCAAUAGAGAAAGACGGUUUUGCUGUCACUUCUAGCUGGAUCCGCGCCGCAUUAGCUAGUUGGUAAGGUAACGGCUUACCAAGGCAACGAUGCGUAGCCGACCUGAGAGGGGGAUCGGCCACACUGGAACUGAGACACGGUCCAGACUCCUACGGGAGGCAGCAGUAGGGAAUCUUCCGCAAAGGGCGAAAGCCUGACGGAGCAACGCCGCGUGAGUGAUGAAGGUCUUCGGAUCGUAAAACUCUGUUAUUAGGGAAGAACAAAUGUGUAAGUAACUAUGCACGUCUUGACGGUACCUAAUCAGAAAGCCACGGCUAACUACGUG
rnacentral:rRNA from 1 species